rnacentral:rRNA from 1 species
UACAGAGGGGGCAAGCGUUGUUCGGAAUUACUGGGCGUAAAGGGCGCGUAGGCGGCCCGCUAAGUCGAACGUGAAAUCCCCGGGCUCAACCCGGGAACUGCGUCCGAUACUGGUGGGCUUGAAUCCGGGAGAGGGAUGCGGAAUUCCAGGUGUAGCGGUGAAAUGCGUAGAUAUCUGGAGGAACACCGGUGGCGAAGGCGGCAUCCUGGACCGGUAUUGACGCUGAGGCGCGAAAGCCAGGGGA